rnacentral:rRNA from 1 species
UACGUAGGGUGCAAGCGUUGUCCGGAAUUAUUGGGCGUAAAGAGCUUGUAGGCGGUUUUGUCGCGUCUGCUGUGAAAUUUUCGGGGCUCAACCCCGAACUUGCAGUGGGUACGGGCAGACUAGAGUGUGGUAGGGGAGACUGGAAUUCCUGGUGUAGCGGUGAAAUGCGCAGAUAUCAGGAGGAACACCGAUGGCGAAGGCAGGUCUCUGGGCCAUAACUGACGCUGAGGAGCGAAAGCGUGGGGAGCGAACAGG